rfam:Oryza glumipatula chromosome 1, whole genome shotgun sequence.
AUUAGACGCAGUCGUGGGUUUCAGUGCUCAACGUUUUACCAUCCAUCUUAUUUGAAACUUUUUUACAAUUAAUAUUUUUAUUGUUAUUAUUAGAUGAUAAAACAUGAAUUUUACUUUAUGCGUUACUUAAUUUUUUAAAUUUUUUCAUAAAUUUUUCAAAUAAGAUGAACGGUUAAACAUUGAACACGAAAAUUUAUAGCUACACUUAAA